CCUGGUUGAUUCUGCCAGUAGUCAUAUGCUUGUCUCAAAGAUUAAGCCAUGCAUGUCUAAGUAUAAGCAACUAUACUGUGAAACUGCGAAUGGCUCAUUAAAUCAGUUAUCGUUUAUUUGAUAGUACCUUACUACAUGGAUAACCGUGGUAAUUCUAGAGCUAAUACAUGCUAAAAACCUCGACUUCGGAAGGGGUGUGUUUAUUAGAUAAAAAACCAAUGCCCUUCGGGGCUCCCUGGUGAUUCAUAAUAACCUAACGAAUCGCAUGGCCUUGUGCCGGCGAUGGUUCAUUCAAAUUUCUGCCCUAUCAACUUUCGAUGGUAGGAUAGUGGCCUACCAUGGUUUCAACGGGUAACGGGGAAUUAGGGUUCUAUUCCGGAGAAGGAGCCUGAGAAACGGCUACUACAUCCAAGGAAGGCAGCAGGCGCGCAAAUUACCCAAUCCCGACACGGGGAGGUAGUGACAAUAAAUACUGAUACAGGGCUCUUUUGAGUCUUGUAAUUGGAAUGAGUACAAUUUAAAUCCCUUAACGAGGAACAAUUGGAGGGCAAGUCUGGUGCCAGCAGCCGCGGUAAUUCCAGCUCCAAUAGCGUAUAUUAAAGUUGUUGCAGUUAAAAAGCUCGUAGUUGAACCUUGGGCCUGGCUGACCGGUCCGCCUCACCGCGUGCACUGGUUCGGCCGGGCCUUUCCUUCUGGGGAGCCGCAUGCCCUUCACUGGGUGUGUCGGGGAACCAGGACUUUUACUUUGAAAAAAUUAGAGUGUUCAAAGCAGGCCUAUGCUCGAAUACAUUAGCAUGGAAUAAUAGAAUAGGACGUGUGGUUCUAUUUUGUUGGUUUCUAGGACCGCCGUAAUGAUUAAUAGGGAUAGUCGGGGGCAUCAGUAUUCAAUUGUCAGAGGUGAAAUUCUUGGAUUUAUUGAAGACUAACUACUGCGAAAGCAUUUGCCAAGGAUGUUUUCAUUAAUCAGUGAACGAAAGUUAGGGGAUCGAAGACGAUCAGAUACCGUCGUAGUCUUAACCAUAAACUAUGCCGACUAGGGAUCGGGCGAUGUUAUCUUUUUGACUCGCUCGGCACCUCACGAGAAAUCAAAGUUUUUGGGUUCUGGGGGGAGUAUGGUCGCAAGGCUGAAACUUAAAGAAAUUGACGGAAAGGCACCACCAGGCGUGGAGCCUGCGGCUUAAUUUGACUCAACACGGGGAAACUCACCAGGUUAACCACGGUUGUUACGACCUCUGGGCCUGGAAAAG
rnacentral:rRNA from 1 species